ACACCUCAACUCUCAUGGCUUGCCAUGAUGAGCUUGGACCUUGGGGGUCUGCUGGCCUGUGAGUCGGCUCCUCUCAAAUGAAUUAGCCUGCCGGUGUUUGGUGGCGUCACAGGUGUGAUAACUAUCUACGCUUGCGAUUGCCCACCAGGUAACCUUCAGUGAUGGGGGUUCACUGGGGCUCAUAGACGUCUCUCCCUCAGCGAGGACAACACUUUAAA
rnacentral:misc_RNA from 1 species